UUAAGUUUUUUCUUUCUAAUAUUUGACAAGAAUGAGUUAAUUUUUAUUUAAAAAAAAAAACAACCCUCAUUUAUUCUUUUCUAAAUAAUAUAAUAAUAUAUUAACAAUUGAAUUUAACAUUUAAAAACAAUACCUAUUCACUAUUUUUCUCUUUAAUGUUUCAAAAAAAUUGAUUUGAAAUUUAAAAAUCAAAAUCUAUAAUUAGUUAAUUUGAAAUUUUAAAAAUAAAACCUAUAACUAAUUUAUCAUUUCCCCCCCCCCCACCCCCCACCCGCCCACUUAAUUUUUUCAACAUGUGUAGUUUUAUAACUUGUAUGUUAUCUAUAUUCUUUUAAUAGAUGUAUAGAUUAUACAUGGACAAAAUAUCAUAAUUUGUAUAUAUGAAAUUCCAAUAACUUUUUCAAAAAAAUAUAAAUAAUUGACUCAGUAGGUGCCAGACUCAAAGUACCCUAAUCCUGCAAUUAACUGUAUUGGAUUUAAAUUGACUCCUUUUUAAAUGAGUCAUGUUGAAAUAUGUCCCGCAUGAACGAGUGUAAUAUGAAAGAUUUUUUAAUUUAAGGAUUAAGGAGGUUAUGGCUUUAAAAAUUUAGUGAGAUAACAUAGGGAAGUUGAAGAGUUUUUCCUAUAAAUGCCUGUUUUUAUGGGGAGUAGGAUAAUGGUUAUAUAUAUAUAUAUAUAUAUAUUGGAAAUUGUCCUCUUGCUUCCAUCUCUUCUUUUCAUCAAAUUACCCAUACGUUUAUCUCAAUAUAUAUAUUGGUGAAGCAUAGAAAGAGGUUUAAGCAAGAGAAACGAUUCCUACGAGUUUUCUUCAAGAUUGAUUUGCGUUAUGGCUGAUUCCGGUAUGGUGUUUAUGAAACUUUAAUUUUUCCGCAUAAAGGUUAUUAAAGAUUCACUUAAAACUCAAAAGAAUGUUAAAAGAUUCAUCGCAUGAAGACUUAGACUCUUAGAUAGUUUUAUUUUUGUGGAAAUCUCAUGUAAGUACUUCAAAUUUCAAUAUUGAUCAUUGAAACUCUUAGGAUAAAUCAUUGACUUAGAGACCUAUUUUUAUACAUUGAAAAUAUUUUCAUAAAGUCUCAUAUAAGUUUUCCAACUUAUACAUUUAAAUUUUGGUACCAAACUUUGAAAAACAUUAAGUGGCCAAGUGGUUACGCGACUAAUGGUUAAUCAUUUGGCGACUGAUAUGCUACUUGUUUUGUAAAUGGAUGAACGAUAGACCCCUUGUGUCCAAUCGACUGACACCUAUGUUUUAAACUUUUAACAACACUGAUUGUGUUUCCAAAUGUGAUUUCUUGGUUUCCAAACUCAGAGAGAACUUGAGGAAAAUGGUAAGAAACCUUUUUGCAUUAUAUAUACUUUAUAUUUUCGCAAACUAAGUCAACUAACAACACAUAUACGAAUCAAAUAUUUGAGUUAUAUUGCUGAAAGUUUUCCUAAAGAGCUGCUAUGAUAUUGCUGAAUUUCCUACACAAAAUUCUGAUUUGUUCUACUGAAAUUCACACUUCUUAAUCUGAAUACUGGUGAUAAUAUCUUGAGCUUCAACUUCUAUAUUGAUUUUCAUUGAAGUAUAUUGAUUCUAACUUGUACAAAUUUGCUCUUGUUGAGAGUAUUGCAUUGUACAAACAAAAAUUGCUUCUUGUUUUUGUUUUUGACAAUUUAAGGUAUUUGAAUUGUUGCCUAGUGAGAGGGUUGUUCUCGUUAGAGAGGUGGCUCCACCUUGAAUGAAGAGAGGCUUACUUCACCUGGUAACGAAGUGGAAAGGAUAUCCUCACAGCGGUUGCUUGAGGCAAGUACGUAGGCUGCUGGGCUAACCUUGUAAAAAAAUCUGGUGUUCAGCUCUUCUUCCAUUAACUCUUUAUACUCUUGCAAGAUUAUAACUUGGGUGUAUUUUUAUUAAAUCAUUGAGAACUUGUUGGAUAUUGGGAAUUUGUUGAAUAUUGAUUUAUGGUUGUGUUAGCCUUAUUGGCUACACUAUCAUGCUCUUAUGUGUUUUGAUGAUAUUAACUCAUAUGUUGUUCCUAGUGUUUUCCAUCUUUGCAAAUCAUGUUAGUACAGGUUCAAGGAUCGAAUACAUGAAGUAUUGGUCAAAAGGCAAAGAUUGGACCAAGUUAAUGUUCGAAUAGGAAUAUCAAAUGGAAACGUACUCGAAAGAACCCAAGCACAACCAAAGGAAGCUUAUUGAUGAAUUAUAUGUAAUAAGGAAAUCGUCGACGGUUUUAGUGAGCCCAGAAAUAGUGCCGACGAUUUGGGACGAUGCUAAAACACCAAUGGCUAGGAAAAAAAAAAGCUAGUUUCUUUUGAUUAUUGCUCCCAACAGUCCAAUAACGGCAAAUAAUUCUUUUUGUCUAUAAAUAGAAGUCCAUAGACUUGUUUAGUAUGGUUUUGGUUAUUUAUACAAGUUCAUUGUGAAAAAUAUCAUUUUAUACAAAACCUAGGCGCUUUGUAUCCUUGUUAUUCAUUCACAAGUGCUCAAACUCUCUUGUCCUCUAAUGUUGUUUGAAUCACUCCUUAAGAGAGUAGUGUGAGGAUUUUCUUGUAAUUGAUAUUAGCUCAUUUGAGGAGCAUUUUCUUUGUAAAUCAUCUUCUUGGUGUAAAGGUUCUUUGUAAACCAUUCGGUAAAGGUUCUUGGUGAAUCGAAGGCUUUUGGUGAGCGUGGAAGGCAUUUGUUUCUGAGUGUAGUGUUUGAUAUCCGAGUUGUAAGGCUUGCUCUGCCGAUGAAGGAGUAUCUUAGUGGAUUGUGGAAUUCUUGGCUUGGUGCUAAGGUGUGGACAUAGGCUUGGUGCCGAACCAUGUUAAAAUACCAGUAUUAAACUUUCUCUCCC